UAAUGUCUGGGAAACUGCCUGAUGGAGGGGGAUAACUACUGGAAACGGUAGCUAAUACCGCAUAACGUCGCAAGACCAAAGUGGGGGACCUUCGGGCCUCAUGCCAUCAGAUGUGCCCAGAUGGGAUUAGCUAGUAGGUGGGGUAACGGCUCACCUAGGCGACGAUCCCUAGCUGGUCUGAGAGGAUGACCAGCCACACUGGAACUGAGACACGGUCCAGACUCCUACGGGAGGCAGCAGUGGGGAAUAUUGCACAAUGGGCGCAAGCCUGAUGCAGCCAUGCCGCGUGUGUGAAGAAGGCCUUCGGGUUGUAAAGCACUUUCAGCGGGGAGGAAGGCGGUGAGGUUAAUAACCUCAUCGAUUGACGUUACCCGCAGAAGAAGCACCGGCUAACUCCGUGCCAGCAGCCGCGGUAAUACGGAGGGUGCAAGCGUUAAUCGGAAUUACUGGGCGUAAAGCGCACGCAGGCGGUCUGUCAAG
rnacentral:rRNA from 1 species